UGUUUGCCCUCUAGAAACAAAGUCAGCAUGG
rnacentral:piRNA from 1 species